ACUUUCUUAAAACAAAAUUUAAAAAAAUUAAAAAUAAAAAAAAACAAAACAGAAACAGAAGCUCGUAAAAAUCAAAACCCCAUCGAAAAUCUUCUCCAAACUAAACCAUCUUCUUUUCGGUGUACAACAGUUGAUUAUCUUCAAAUCAUCAAAAUCGCCUUCAAAUCAGUUUCAUUCAAAUCAUCUUCUUAAAUCAAUUUCAUCUUAGGGCUUCAAAUCAUCUUCUGAAAAAGAUUUAGGGUUUCAGCUCGUGAGUAGCCCAGAGCGAACAAAGGAACGUAGUACUUUCAAUGAACGCAACUUUCAGAUCGUGAUUCGGUAUUGGAUUCGCUUAUUUCAGAAGGAGAUACACAUGAAAUACUGGUGGAAUUGGGAGGAAUGGCUGGCGGUGGAAUGGUUUGGCUGGAGGUAUGUUUAUUUCAAUAGAAAAGAAUAAAUACAAACCAACAGUACAAGCUCUUAAUAUGGGAAAAAAAUUACCGGCAUAUGUAUUUUGGUGAACAUCAUGAUGUCUAUGCCAUUUGUUCUAAGUUUACAUUUUAGUGGACAAUUGUGUCUCUCUAUUUAUGUUUUUAGAACUUCAUAUGCUUAUCCCAUGCAUUAGAUUGUAUUCUCUAAAAAGGUCUUAAUAGUUUAUACAUUAACUAAUCAAUUCUCUAGGACUAAUGUAAAAUGACAUUUGGUUGUUAUUCAGUUAACCUGAGAUACGCUAUUCACUUUAUCAUUGAAAGUGGCAACUAAGUAUGCUUAAUUUGUCUCAAUUUGCUUAUAUGAAUAAUUUGAGGUUGUCUGCCUUUUAUAAACUAUUAAGACCUACUAAGACUAUUAGUAUUAAGGCCUUUUAUCCCUUGCUUAGUGACUUCUGUAGUAAAUUUCGUAUUUUAGGUUAAAUAUAAGACCUUUGAUGAAAUUGAUGAUGAGAAAAAGUGGUGGAAGAUACCUUUUGUUUCAGAUUUUCUAAAGAAGAAUGGUUUUGAUUCUGCACUCAGAAAGGUUAUCGGUUCUGAUACAGUACAAGUCAGCCAAUUUGUGGAGUUUGCAUUUGGGAAGUUAAAGUUAUUUAACAAUGAGAAGGGUUGGAUGUCUGAUACUGAUAAUGAUAAAUAUGAUACUGAAAGUUCUAAGGAAUCAAAUGAUUCUGCAUACAAAGCUGCUAGUUCAGAUUCAGAAGCCUCUAAUGAAGCUUUUAGUGAACAAAGAAACAUGGAAGAGUUUCACUCACGUGAUAGUGAAACUAAAUGAACACACUUUGGAAUCAGACAAUAGAGCAAGUGGUCAACCUGCCACUGCUGCAAUUCAGUCUUCACUUCCAGAGGUCAAAAAGGCAAAUGAGAAAUUGAUGGAGCAAACUGAAUCAAUUUUAGGAGGUUUAAUGGUUUUAACGGCAACAGUUUCCAAAAUGAAAAAUUAUUUGGUUAUAGUUUCUUUCGGUGCAUUUGAAUGAGACUAUGAAUCAUGAUGUUCUUACUUGGAGACAUCCUUCUAGCAUUAUUAUGAGAUUAUUCACAAGUUGAUUUAUUGUCUGAGACUAUUCAUAUCACUGACACUUAUUCAUCAAUCCUAUUGUACAUGGCAUCUCAUACAUGUAACAUUAUUUUAACGGUCCAUAAUCGAUGGUCUUUUUUAUUAUAUACUUCACUAACCAGUGAUCAAAUUUCAGGUACUGAAAUUAAACAGUUUGUUUCUUUAUACCCACUUUAUCUUAAUGUAAAAAUACUUUUUAUGCCAGGGACUAAAAAAGUAAAUAAGAAUUGCCUUGGAAACUUCAACAAAUUGAUCCUUGAAAAAGGAAAAUGAACUCCACAUGAAAAUUAUGGAGCUUGAGACCAACAUGAAGGAGUUAAGUUGGAAUAGUUGACAUGGCGAAGAGAUUGUCAGUGAUCUCUUAAAGGAGAGGCGACAGUAUUGCUUUAGAGGAAUAUAAUGAUGGUUACUUAUCAUACCCACAUCAGCAAUGUUGGCUAGUAAUGGUGGUGUAUUGCAGGAACUAAAAGUUCAAGUUCGGAUAUGUAGAGACCUCUUUUAUAUUAACCAUUUAGAUUUGAACAUCUUUGUAUGAACUUCUUUUACAUUAACCAUUUUGAGUUGAACAUUUAUGCAGGGACCUCUCUUGUAAUAAUAUAAGUGGCUUCUUCCCGAUAAUUAAUCAUAGUUUAAGUCUCUGAGAGACGUUUACUAAUUUCAACUUAUGUCAUAAUAUAUUGGUAUGAGUUUGUAGGACUAAUAGAACUCAGUUUUGCUAGUACCCAUGGAGUGAACAUGUCAUGGUUGUAAAGUACUUUUUUAAACCUUGUUGUGAUAUUUGUAAACAAGUGGAUUUGAUUUAAAA